UCCUGUAUGUUAAACGAGAAGACUUUAGAUAUGAUCCAGAGUACCACGGGACACGUGAAACCCUGUGGGAAGCAGGAGGGACCACCCUCCAAGGCUAAAUACUACCUAGUGACCGAUAGCGUAUAGUACCGUGAGGGAAAGGUGAAAAGAACCCCGGGAGGGGAGUGAAAUAGAACCUGAAACCCUGCACUUACAAGCUGUGGAAGCACAUUUCUUGUGUGACCGCGUACUUUUUGUAGAACGGGCCAACGAGUUACGUUAAGUAGCAAGGUUAAGCACUUAAGGUGUGGAGCCGUAGCGAAAGCGAGUUUUAACUGAGCGUUCAGUUACUUGACGUAGACCCGAAACCGGGCGACCUACCCAUGAGCAGGAUGAAGCGAAAGUAAAAUUUCGUGGAGGUCCGAACCCACGAGCGUUGAAAAGCUCGGGGAUGACUUGUGGGUAGCGGUGAAAUUCCAAUCGAGCCCGGAGAUAGCUGGUUCUCCCCGAAAUAGCUUUAGGGCUAGCCUCAAGGUGAGAGAUACGGAGGUAGAGCACUGAAUGUCCUAGGGGGUAUUGCACCUACCGAAGACUAUCAAACUCCGAAUGCCGUCAUCUUAUACUUGGGAGUCAGACUGUGGGUGAUAAGAUUCAUAGUCGAAAGGGCAACAGCCCAGAUCGUCAGCUAAGGUCCCUAAAUGUAAGUUAAGUGGUAAAGGAUGUGGGAUUGCACAGACAACCAGGAUGUUGGCUUAGAAGCAGCCACUCAUUCAAAGAGUGCGUAAUAGCUCACUGGUCGAGUGAUCCUGCGCCGAAGAUUUCCGGGGCUAAAACUUACUACCGAAGCUACGGCAUCAGUAAUGAUGGGUAGGGGAGCUUCCCAUACGGGUUGAAGCAUGACCGUAAGGACAUGUGGACAGUAUGGGAGUGAGAAUGUUGGCAUGAGUAGCGAGAUGUGGGUGAGAAUCCCACAGGCCGUAAACCCAAGGUUUCCAGGGGAAGGUUCGU
rnacentral:rRNA from 1 species